rnacentral:rRNA from 1 species
CACGUAGGCGGAUAUUUAAGUCAGGGGUGAAAUCCCAGAGCUCAACUCUGGAACUGCCUUUGAUACUGGGUAUCUCGAGUAUGGAAGAGGUGAGUGGAAUUCCGAGUGUAGAGGUGAAAUUCGUAGAUAUUCGGAGGAACACCAGUGGCGAAGGCGGCUCACUGGUCCAUUACUGACGCUGAGGUGCGAAAGCGUGGGAGCAAACA